GUGACUUUGCUGAGCCUUCUGGGCUGUGGUUUAUGCAAGAACCUUCCAAGGACCCGGUUGAGUCACCAGCUGUGAUCAGGCAGCAUCUCCCCGCCUGCAGACCAAAAGCCAGGCAUGAGACGGCAGGAGCGCCGACCUGCAGGUCUGUCUGCAGCAGGACGCACGGCGGCUGACUCAGCGGAGACUUGCCCGGAACCUGGCUGCCAGGUUUCCCACUGCCAACGCUGAGCUGUCCCGAGGAGGAGCAGAGCAGAAGCCUCCAGCAAAGAAUAAAACAACAAGGCCUCUACCAUGCCGCCCCUUCUGCCACCAUCGAUUCCACCAGGACAAAGCUAAGAUGUCAUGAGUUCAGAGAGCUCGAAGUGUCGUCAGAAGGAGGCUGCACCCACAGCAGGCAGAAGUUCCUGGGCCAAGAAUCGAACCCACACCACAGCAGCGACCCUAGCCACUGUUGUGACAAUGCCGAAUCCCUAGCCUGCUGGACCACACGGGAACCCCCGAACUGAGAUUUCCUCAUUCAACGCCCUUCCUGUGACACGGCCUCGCUUAAGGAUGCUGUGUUUGUGUCUCUCAGCUCACUCACUAGAUCCUGGGAAGCGAGACUCCUUUCUAAUUUCCCCUCUGUUUCCCUGUCAGAGGGGCACGGCCAUGGCAAGGAGCUGAAGAAAGAGCCAGGAGGCAUAGCUGGCACUUACUGAGUGCUCUCUCAGGACCCUGCAUUGUUCCAAGUCUUUCUUAAGUAUGUGAACACCCCUAAGAGACGGGUGCCAUCGUGACGCCUUUUCACAGAUGCGGAGAGAGGACAUUCUCAGAAUGCCCCGGGGGAUACGUGCUCUUAAAACUUUCAACAUGGUGAAGGCCUGGGAGGUGGUGGACCGCGACAAGAACGCUGGGAGUGUGACCAGCACAGGCCCGGAGGCGCCCAGGGCCUCAUCUCUCCGCGUCUGAGCUCCCGGUUUCAUGCUCAGCCAAGGAAUUCGAGCUUCACUUUUAGCGUCAGGGAGAAAACUAAAGAUUGGCUGUAUAAAAGCGUGCCAUUCUCUAAGAGGCUUGCCAUGUUUUCAAGACCUCUUGAGUCGUCGUGACUUCUGCCUCUUGACUUCGAUUCGACUCCGCAAGCAAUAAAACAGUAAAAGCACCUCAUUUCCUGCUCUCCAUGUACUGCAUUAAGGAGGUAUUUCUCCACCAGAGCUGCAGCUCCGAGGACCCUUCUGCCCGCCCGGCCGGGCUGCUCAGCUGGGUCCUCUCUCCAGACUUUCUUGAGGAAGCAGAGAAGCAUCUCAAACCCCAGCUUUUUGGUUCAUUUCUAUGCCAAACAUCUGGGGCUUGAAAAAGAACUGUGCAUGGAGAUAAAGUCACCACCGACUCUGUGGAAAGGAGCAUUAGGCAAAAAAGAAGUCGGACGCAUUAAUUAAAAUGGAAGACUAAAUGAGCUGCAGAAAAGGUCGUGAGCCAGGGUCCCCGUGUGGGAUCUCAUCCCCUUCAGGUUAAUUCUCUCAUCCUUCAGGUUCUUGCUUUUGACCUGCUGAAUUUGCAGACUUAGGAAACAGGACAUACAUGCAAACAAGUUCCGGCAAGCAACAGCUCGCAAACAAGAUGUUGCAGUGAAGGCUCAGAGAGGUCGAGGGACUCACCCACAGCCACACACAGCUCAGACGUGGCCAACAGGGCUGGAACUCAGUUUUCCAGCCCAUCUCAUUCUCUUGCCCCACAGGGCCUCUCAGGGCACAAGUCACUGCCUGACAAUCCAGAUUUAUGUGGACAUGCCUUGCAUUUCUUCAGGGAGCCUCAGCCAGGCCUUUCCUCUUCUGUGAGGUCAGGGGUGUGGCACCUCUUGCAUGUGUGCCCAGGAGCUUACGGAGAAACGUGUCCGGCCACUUUCCCGAGGCUUGACAGAUUUUCCCACAAUGGCGUGAAUGGACAAGAAAAUGCAGCUUUGCUUGACGGCCCCACCCCAGUGCCCCUCUCCUGACUCACAAGUCACCUGGGGUGCCAGCCCAGGAGACCCGGGUCACUGCCACGCCUCGAUGAAAACCUGCUCCCCGUGAGCCUGGCUAACACCCCAGUUAUUCGGCAUUGCUGAGGGGUCACGGACAGUUUAGCUGUUAAAGGUCUGGGUGAUGGGCUGGGGUCAGGGACACGGGCAUGCUGGGCCUUAGGGACCACCAUCCUGAAACAGGGACCGUAAAUCCUGUGCUCACGGUUUGGGGGAGACUAACAGGAGGUGAUCUUCAAUGUGCCGUGUGGAUUCGGGGGACACAACGGUCGGUCCACAGCAGCUGUGUGACACCUGCAGAGCAGCAGUGGGCCUCACAAGCCCAGGCUGCACAGGAUGAGGGCUGAUCCUGUGGCAACCCGUACUCCAUCCCCCGCACGCCACGCGGCUUGCCCGCAGUGUCCAAGGUCAGGGAAUCGGUCAUGACCGUGAUUCAGCAGGAAGCAGACAAGAGAGCAGAGCCAAAAGGCCUGGGUUCUCCUCUCAGCUCUGACACUAACACUACCGGAUUUAAUAGCAUUUGUCGUCCAGACCCAGGGCGUCACACGCGAGGAGUCACAGGCAGGGAAAAGAAAGCUGCGGUGCUGCAAUCAGUCCAGGCUGAGGCCAUGUUCGCGGGGGUGGAUCCAACAGUUUUACCAUCUGCUCUAAAAGGCCAGCACCUGCCAAGGGGAAACUCCUCCUCUCCAGGCCCUGCCUCCUGAGGUGCUGACAUCCCUAACCCCUUCGGACGUCAGAAGGUGGCCACUCCAGAGCUUAAGCGACUUCACGAGGCCUCAUGGUUAGAAACUUCCAGAGCUGGCAUUUGAUGCCAGGUCUGCUGGAUUCUAAAACACGCCCUCUUCUCACCUAAGACCUUGCAGAGACCUGUCCCCAAGGAAGCUGGACUUGGUCUGCCACUCACUGCUGUUAUAGAAGAAGGACGGAGAGGUGGUUGCCUGUGUGGGCCAUUGCACUGGGAGGGGACAGGGCACAGAAGCUGAGGACUCAGAAGGGAAGUUCUGUCAAGGUAGUGACCCGCCUGUUCAGUUGUAAGGUGCAAGCUUCAUUUUCCGUCUGAGCCCACUCUGCUUUGCGUCUGUUGCCAUGGUUACUUCUAGUAGGGGAUAAAGGAGUCUGGCCACUGUCCGGCUGCUGGGCUGUCCUGAGGUCAUUUUACACCCAGUGUUUUCUCUGUCUUUAUUUUUUUUUUAGCCACACACGUGGCUUAUGGAAGUCUCCAGGACCAGGGAUGAAAUCCGAGUUCAGCUGCAGCCUACACCACAACUGCAGCAAUGCUGGAUCCUUAACCCACGGCACCACAGUGGGAACUCCUACAUUUUCUCUAUCCUUGAAUCGCAGCAAACUUGAACCUUCAGAAUGGCAAUGUCAAGUGUAGACAACGCAUGCUGAACUCCUUCCUGACUUGGGCAAAUAAGGGGGAUCCGAUCAUUUCACAGCAAGGCGGCCUCUGGUCAGCUCUCAUUAAUACCAUUCUCUCAGGGAGGUUUCCUCUGCCAGCAAUGCCCGUCCCCUUUAUAGGAAAAGACUCAGCAGUGGGCUAUAAGGAAAACUCUGACUGAUCAUUAUGCAAAGAUGACUAUUUCUUCACGACACGCGUGUCCGGGAGAGGAGACGGCAGCAGCCUCUCCUGGUGAGGCAGGAAGCAGGCCGCUGCAACCCUGCCUAAUUUCUGUCUGUCGUCUUUGAGGGUAGCUGGCUGGGGUAGGAUGGCCACGUCCGGGCAUAUGCCAUGAAUAGUCUUAGCUGCGGGCAUCGGACCGAGGAUGAGGGCGGUGCCUGUGUGCGCUGUUUGGGACUCAAAGUGUUUCUGCAUCUGUGCAUUUCAGGAGCCCACUAGAAACUUAUUUUCCCUGUGUUGCAAAGAAGAAGUCACGGGGUCGCCGGUAAGUGAGUGCAGCUGAUGCACGCCGCCCGCCUCGGCGCCAGCUCCUGCGCUCCUCAUUUCCAGUCCUAAGGACGACUCGGCGCCUUGGCUAUUUAUUGCCAUCCCCAGCCUUACCCCUGAGGACGCCAAAGCAGAAGAAGGUGAGGAGGCAGCGGCACUGUGGCACUGGAACCCUAUCUACCUGCCAGGGUGUUUUCCUGUGUGGGCGGCGCUGAAGGCUGCACGGUCUCAGGGUUCUCGGGGGACAGGCUUCUGCCUCAGAGAAGCUGAGCAUCUUGGCCAAAGUGACAAAGCCAGCAGUGGACCUUGGUGGGACACCCGUCCUUAGGCUCUGGGGCAUUUUAUUUGCUGCCGAGAUGUCCCUAAAGAAUAGUUCCCUGGGAUGGGUCACAAAAAUCAAUUGAAUGGAAGAAAGUUGCUAAAAGGAAGGAGACGCUCCAGGAAAGUUUUUAUCCAAGGGAUUUGGGACAAAAACAACGGCCUCCAAGAGAAAAGUGGAUGAGGUCUUGUUUCCUAUGGGUCUGGGUACCAAGAAAAUAUUCACAUGGGUGCUUUAUUUACACCAGCAGCCGCCGCCUGCUGGGAACUUGCGGCUUAGAUAAGAGAAGAUUCAGGGCUUCUGAACCCUCCCGGGCUACACAGGUGCAUGUGGGAGGGAUUUAAACUCAAUUUUUCAUCACAAACACUCACUGAAUCAGGUUACUUUUUUUUUUUUUUUCUUUUUAGGCUGCACCCAUGGCAUAGGGAGGUUCCCAGCCUAGGGGUCGAAUUGGAGUUGCACCUGCCGGCCUACACCACAGCCACAGUAACAUCAGAGCCGAGCUGCAUCUGCGACUUACACCACAGCUCAUGGCAACGCCAGACCCUUAACCCACUGAGCAAGAGGCCAGGGAUGGAACCCGCAACUUCACAGUUCCUAGUCAGAUUCAUUUCCACUGUACCAGGAUGGGAACUCCGAAUCAGGUUACUUUUAACUGGAAAAAUACUGCAUUCAUCUGGCAAUGCCUGCCUACAGUGAAUACAAAUACGCGGUGAGCAGUGAGAGCUGAAUCACCCAUUGACCUUGAAGGAAAAGACGGCCCCUCUGACUGCAAGCAGCAAAACCGACCUGGAGUGUCAGACUCAGAAGCGCAUUGUGAGAAAGGAGGUGUGGGAUCUGUAUACGGUUUAGCUAGUCACCCGGGGACACCCAGUUGAUUCCUCCUGUGCCAAAGACUCACAUCCAGAAUUAAAAAGGCUUUGUUCAGAAGU
rnacentral:lncRNA from 1 species